rnacentral:rRNA from 1 species
GACGAACGCUGGCGGCGUGCUUAACACAUGCAAGUCGAACGGAAAGGCCCUGCUUUUGUGGGGUGCUCGAGUGGCGAACGGGUGAGUAACACGUGAGUAACCUGCCCUUGACUUUGGGAUAACUUCAGGAAACUGGGGCUAAUACCGGAUAGGAGCUCCUGCUGCAUGGUGGGGGUUGGAAAGUUUCGGCGGUUGGGGAUGGACUCGCGGCUUAUCAGCUUGUUGGUGGGGUAGUGGCUUACCAAGGCUUUGACGGGUAGCCGGCCUGAGAGGGUGACCGGCCACAUUGGGACUGAGAUACGGCCCAGACUCCUACGGGAGGCAGCAGUGGGGAAUAUUGCACAAUGGGCGGAAGCCUGAUGCAGCAACGCCGCGUGCGGGAUGACGGCCUUCGGGUUGUAAACCGCUUUCGCCUGUGACGAAGCGUGAGUGACGGUAAUGGAUAAAGAAGCACCGGCUAACUACGUGCCAGCAGCCGCGGUGAUACGUAGGGUGCGAGCGUUGUCCGGAUUUAUUGGGCGUAAAGGGCUCGUAGGUGGUUGAUCGCGUCGGAAGUGUAAUCUUGGGGCUUAACCCUGAGCGUGCUUUCGAUACGGGUUGACUUGAGGAAGGUAGGGGAGAAUGGAAUUCCUGGUGGAGCGGUGGAAUGCGCAGAUAUCAGGAGGAACACCAGUGGCGAAGGCGGUUCUCUGGGCCUUUCCUGACGCUGAGGAGCGAAAGCGUGGGGAGCGAACAGGCUUAGAUACCCUGGUAGUCCACGCUGUAAACGGUGGGUACUAGGUGUGGGGUCCAUUCCACGGGUUCCGUGCCGUAGCUAACGCUUUAAGUACCCCGCCUGGGGAGUACGGCCGCAAGGCUAAAACUCAAAGGAAUUGACGGGGCCCCGCACAAGCGGCGGAGCAUGCGGAUUAAUUCGAUGCAACGCGUAGAACCUUACCUGGGUUUGACAUGGAUCGGGAGCGCUCAGAGAUGGGUGUGCCUCUUUUGGGGUCGGUUCACAGGUGGUGCAUGGCUGUCGUCAGCUCGUGUCGUGAGAUGUUGGGUUAAGUCCCGCAACGAGCGCAACCCUUGUUCACUGUUGCCAGCACGUUAUGGUGGGGACUCAGUGGAGACCGCCGGGGUCAACUCGGAGGAAGGUGGGGAUGACGUCAAGUCAUCAUGCCCCUUAUGUCCAGGGCUUCACGCAUGCUACAAUGGCUGGUACAGAGAGUGGCGAGCCUGUGAGGGUGAGCGAGUCUCGGAAAGCCGGUCUCAGUUCGGAUUGGGGUCUGCAACUCGACCUCAUGAAGUCGGAGUCGCUAGUAAUCGCAGAUCAGCAACGCUGCGGUGAAUACGUUCCCGGG